GCAUGUAGCAGGCAAUAAGAAAAGAUCUGGAAAAGAUCUUCACCAUAACUGCUUGUUAAUCUGGAUCUCAUUGGUGAGCUUACGUAAAACAAAACAGAGCAUGGUAAAUUAUAUUCAAGUAUAUAGCGUUUCCUGACAUAGGCACUACACAGUUAUGUAUAUGGCAUUUUGUUAUGAUACUGUAAGUAUUGGAGGAUUUGAAAGAGAAGGAAUUUAUAUUUAUGGAUUUAUAGCUCAGACAAUUAUGCAAGGAUAGCUAUGUUUUGGUGGUAGUAUGUGUUCUGUUGUUUCUUCAUGUAUGUUGAUGUGGCACGGUGAAACCACAACAGUGCGUCGCUUUUUAACGUUAUUGCCGCAAGGAAUUAUAAGACGGCAUUAUCUCCUUUCCUUUCGUAGAAGAAAGUCCAGUGUAUCAAAUAUUAAAGGAGAUAAAAUAGGAAGCACUGAGGGUCCUUCCCUUGGCAUUUAGGGAAUUCGACCGGUUUUCAUCAUGGCUGCCACUGACACACUUCCGGGUCAUUUCAUAUCGGGGCAAUUGUCGCGAGCCUCCCACAACUUUCAACGCGAUUUUACAUUAAUCAUUUUAAAUAGUUAUCUGUGUCUGACUGAAAGUAUAUACAGAUUGCAGCCACUAGGAACGGUCGUUAUACUAUACAUUAUCAGCUUCAGCUUGCUAGGUGAUCUGACCCCGGAAGCUGUAUAUUCGCACCUGCCCGGUUUGUUUACACACGUGAAGCAAACAUUUAGUGCAGUUACUCACUGCAAUGUUUUAUUGUCCUCUGAGGAAUAAGCGUGGAAUACGUUUGAGGAAAAAGCUAAAUAAAACGGCGGAUUAUGCCGUGGACUAUUAUGAGGAGGAGACUUUGUGGUGGUUGGUCGUAUUUAUCAGAACCGGAGUAAACGGACGAAGAGCUGAUCAAACGACAGAAAAGCGACAGCACCGUUCUCGGGAAACUGAUGGUGGUCCUGCACAGCCGGCUGAGAGAGAAAACUUUUGCAGCUAAGGGGAAUGUGUCCGCGGAUGAUGGUAUUUCCAGAAGUGUGUCUACGAGAAGUGAUUUUACGUCGUUUAUUUACGUUGUCAUCCUGGAGACGUCUAUAUUACCCCAAAUUGACUGAGGAAAGACAGAGGCCGACUGGACAAAUGCUCAGCUCUUCAUAUGGAUACCUCCUCAGAAUAUCUUUCAAAAAUUCAACCAGUGGUGGUGUAGUCUGCCCAAACCUCCCUGUGAAAGCCAGAGCAGAAUCGAUACAGCAGGGAGUCAGCACCGUGGCCUGAUACUGCUGCUGCUGCUCCUACUGUUUGAGGUUUUUCAAGGUGACACUGUGACCCACUGCACUCAGCAGUCUUUGCACAUCGACAUGCUGUCUGGCAAACAAGAGCUCUGCACAAGCAAAACCCUCGCUCAUCAUCCUCAUCAUGGUCAGUGCACUGUGCAAUAAUCAUUUGAACACUUCAACAUGAAGGACUUUAAGUCUUUAAUGUCUUAUGUGGCAGCAAUAUAAAUCACUUACAGCAAAUAUACAUUUAAAGUGUUUACAUUUAUCACACUGAAGACUGCGGGUGAGAAACGAGUACAGACAGACUUAAAUGUUGUAGUAAGUGCAUACAGUAUAUCUUGUGUCUGCUGCAUUCAUCUGAAGAGCAGAGUGCUUUGGCUGGAUGUCUUUCUCUCCUAGCAAAGAUAUAUGUAUAGUAUUAUAAUAGCUUAAAGUGUUUUUCCUCAUUUGGCUUCUGGACUGAAUGUUUUAUAGCAUUAAAAAACACCAAUAGACUUGGAUGUUUUCGAUGAAUAAUGCUUAUGAAACUCACAGACAACAAGGUAAACUUGCCUUUCAGUUUCUCCUAAAAAGCAUACCACUCCUCUGCUAAGUACAGUGUCUGGCACAGUGCCUUGUGCAUCAGACCACUGCACAUUUUUAAUUGUAUCAGGCAGAGCAGGAAUAAAAUCUGAAACCUUGACUUACAUUUAAGGAUGGAAAAUCUUUUUUAAAAAACUGGAAAUACUCACAGAAAAGAAUCCCAGACGUAAAUAUAAAUUUUAUUUAACUCUCUGGAGUGUAGGACCUGACCUUGUAAUGCAUGUGGUAUUCGUGUGAAGGUGUGGCUUGCAGCUAAUUUCUGCGGAUGAGAUCAGGAGGGGGCUGCCGAGCACUGACCACCACCUGGUGCUUUCCAUCAGCUCAGCCCCCAGACACGGGGUCAACCCCUGUCAUUUUAGCCUGUAGACUGUCACAGCCAUCAAAAACUACCUAACAAGGGCUGUACAUUGCAUUUAUAUGACCAAAAUAUUUUAUAGUCUGACAGAUCUGUAUAAAAAAGAUAUAAGUUUAUAAUAUAUCAAUAAAACUGUACCAUUUAAUGGUAGAAGAGGUAGUGUGUCUAAAAUGCUGAUAAUUACAAAGAGAUUUAUAUUCGAUUUUGUUAAAUGAGGCAUUUACAUGUGACUUCUGUGCUUUGUUUCACGUGCUAAGAAUGCAAUGAGUAAACUAUUGCAUUGUUCGGUACAAAGUGAUGAUGAGGUGCCCAGUCAUGUUGGCCACAGUAUGAGUCAGAAUAUUUAACUGCAGUCAUCCAAGCUGAUAUUGGAUUACACUGCAUUACUCUGUCAGAAUCCAAAACGAGCCCGCAGUAAGGGUAAGGCAGGCAGACAGAUAGAUAGAGAGAUAUGAUCAAAAUCAGUCAUAAGAUCGAUAACAGAACAGAAAAGAUUCAAUUGAUUGCUCACAGAAUUAAAAAAUUAAACCUGCAAGGGAGACUCACAGCACCUCUAACAAUGAAGGCACUGUUAUCGGUUAAGAUGAAUGUCACAUCAUUUGUCCUGCAGUUAUGGCACGGGGUCAUUAAAACAGGCCUGUUUUCUGCUGCUGGCAAUUAUCUUUCCUCAAAGAAAGAAACCUCAGUUCCUUCCUGUGACAGAACCACCCACAGAGCAGCAGGCAAACAAACUAAAAUGAACCCUAACAAGUUUUCCAAUAUUGACAUAAACAAGAAGAACACACUGAAUUUAAAGUUUCUAACAGACAAGACAAACACACUAAAAAUAAUAAACCUGUCCCAUACAACAGAGCAACAAAAAAUGACAAAAAUGUUAAGAAUUUAACCAGUGCUGGUUUUUACACAAGCUGUACAGUAUUUAUCUGUGUUUACAGUAACAAUGUGUACAAAUUUUUCAAAUGUAGAUUUCUGGGUUUUUUCUGUGGUUUGAACAAAAAGGGUGCAGUAUGAAAUUAUAAAACUACUUAAAAAGAUUUUUCUGUGAUCUGCCCAGAUGAAAUUGGUUCAGCAAAGCCUGUCCAGGACACAAGAAGCGAGUAAACAAAGGACCAAGAAACUGAAAACUUUAAAAACAGUAGUUAAUAAUAUUCAUACUGCACAUUUUUGUAUAUUUUAGUGUGUUUACUCUGAUGUUGCAAACAAACAAA